rnacentral:rRNA from 1 species
CCUACGGGCGGCAGCAGUAGGGAAUCUUCCACAAUGGACGGAAGUCUGAUGGAGCAACGCCGCGUGAGUGAAGACGGGUUUCGGCUCGUAAAGCUCUGUUGGUAGUGAAGAAAGAUAGAGGUAGUAACUGGCCUUUAUUUUACGGUAAUUACUUAGAAAGUCUCGGCUAACUACGUGCCAGCAGCCGCGGUAAUACGUAGGUGGCAAGCGUUGUCCGGAUUUAUUUGGCGUAAAGUGAGUGCAGGCGGUUCAAUAAGUCUGAUGUGAAAGCCCUCGGCUCAACCGGAGAAUUGCAUCAGAAACUGUUGAACUUGAGUGCAGAAGAGGAGGGUGGAACUCCAUGUGUAGCGGUGGAAUGCGUAGAUAUAUGGAAGAACACCAGUGGCGAAGGCGGCUCUCUGGGCUGCAACUGACGCUGAGGCUCGAAAGCAUGGGUAGCGAACAGGAUUAGAUACCCUAGUAGUC